rnacentral:lncRNA from 1 species
CAACCCUGUGUCCUGUGGUGAAGAUUGUGUCCGCUCUAUAUCUUGAGAACCGUUAUGAUUUCAAGUUUAUACUUGACAUCCAUUUUAACCAACACCAGAGGGUGUGUCAUGAUGUAUGUACAACUUCCUAGGUCAAAGGUCAAGGUCAAAAACUUUGGUUUCAGUUGACAACCCCGUGUCCUGUGGUGAAGAUCGUGUCUGCUCCAUAUCUAGAUAACUGUUAUGAUUUUAUACUUAAUACUUAACAUGCUUAUUAACCA